CUAAGAAUAUUCCGCAAUGGGGGGAACCCCGACGGAGCGACGCCGCGUGGACGACGAAGGCCGGAAGGUUGUAAAGUCCUUUUUUCCGCGAGGAAUAAGGCUGGGAGGGAAUGCCCGGCCGGUGACGGUAGCGGAGGAAUAAGCACCGGCUAAUUACGUGCCAGCAGCCGCGGUAACACGUAAGGUGCGAGCGUUGUUCGGAAUCAUUGGGCGUAAAGGGCAUGCAGGCGGCCGUGCAAGCCCGGCGUGAAAUGGCGGGGCCCAACCCCGUCACUGCGCUGGGAACUGCAUGGCUAGGGCCGCCGAGGGGCAGCCGGAAUUCCAGGUGUAGGGGUGAAAUCUGUAGAUAUCUGGAAGAACACCGAUGGCGAAGGCAGGCUGCCAGCGGACGACCGACGCUGAGGUGCGAAGGCGCGGGGAGCGAACAGGAUUAGAUACCCUGGUAGUCCGCGCAGUCAACGAUGUGCACUGGGCGUCCGCGCGAGCGCGUGGGUGCCGCAGCAAACGCGGUAAGUGCACCGCCUGGGGAGUAUGCCCGCAAGGGUG
rnacentral:rRNA from 1 species